UCGUAGAGCUUACGGCUCCUUCGAGGGAGGACCCUUGCCUUUUCGAGCACCUGUUUGUUUCCUCGGCAGGCCCGCCUGCCAAUGGGGACCCUUUAAACUCUUGCAAUAACCUGUACAAAAUCGUCUGAACUAAAAAAAAAUCUAAAUCA
rnacentral:misc_RNA from 1 species